ACUUAAGCAUAUCAAUAAGCGGAGGAAAAGAAACUAACAAGGAUUCCCCUAGUAACUGCGAGUGAAGCGGGAAGAGCUCAAAUUUGAAAUCUGGCAGUUUGUUGACUGUCCGAGUUGUAAUCUAGAGAAGUGUUUACCCGUGCUGGACCGUGYACAAGUCUCCUGGAAUGGAGCAUCAUAGAGGGUGAGAAUCCCGUCUUUGGCAUGGACUACCUGCACACCAUGGGUGCGCUCUCGAAGAGUCGAGUUGUUUGGGAAUGCAGCUCAAAAUGGGUGGUAAAUGCCAUCUAAAGCUAAAUAUUGGCGAGAGACCGAUAGCGAAUAAGUACCGUGAGGGAAAGAUGAAAAGCACUUUGGAAAGAGAGUUAAACAGUAUGUGAAAUUGCUGAAAGGGAAACGCUUGAAGUCAGUCGCGUCAGCUAGAAAUCAGCCUUGCUUCUGCUUGGUGUACUUUCUGGCUUUGACGGGUCAGCAUCAGUUUCGACCACUGGAUAAAGUCGUUGGGAAUGUGGCAUCUUUUUGGAUGUGUUAUAGCCCAUUGUCGCAUGCAGUGGUUGGGAUUGAGGAGCUCAGCACGCCGCAAAGGCUGGGUCUACGGACUACAUUCGUGCUUAGGAUGCUGGCAUAAUGGCUUUAAUCGACCCGUCUUGAAACACGGACCAAGGAGUCUAACAUGCCUGCGAGUGUUUGGG
rnacentral:rRNA from 1 species